rnacentral:rRNA from 1 species
GAUGAACGCUGGCGGCGUGCCUAAUACAUGCAAGUCGAGCGAACGGACGAGAAGCUUGCUUCUCUGAUGUUAGCGGCGGACGGGUGAGUAACAUGUGGAUAACCUACUUAUAAGACUGGGAUAACUUCGGGAAACCGUAGCUAACACCGGAUAAUAUUUUGAACCGCAUGGUUCAAAAGUGAAAGACGGUCUUGCUGUCACUUAUAGAUGGAUCCGCGCUGCAUUAGCUAGUUGGUAAGGUAACGGCUUACCAAGGCAACGAUGCAUAGCCGACCUGAGAGGGUGAUCGGCCACAAUGGAACUGAGACACGGUCCAGACUCCUACGGGAGGCAGCAGUAGGGAAUCUUCCGCAAUGGGCGAAAGCCUGACGGAGCAACGCCGCGUGAGUGAUGAAGGUCUUCGGAUCGUAAAACUCUGUUAUUAGGGGAGAACAUAUGUGUAAGUAACUGUGCACAUCUUGACGGUACCUAAUCAGAAAGCCACGGCUAACUACGUG